rnacentral:rRNA from 1 species
UACAGAGGGGGCAAGCGUUGUUCGGAAUUACUGGGCGUAAAGGGCGCGUAGGCGGCCUUCUAAGUCGAACGUGAAAUCCCCGGGCUUAACCUGGGAACCGCAUUUGUGACUGCAUAGCUGGAGUACGGCAGAGGGGGAUGGAAUUCCGCGUGUAGCAGUGAAAUGCGUAGAUAUGCGGAGGAACACCGAUGGCGAAGGCAGUCCCCUGGGCCUGUACUGACGCUCAUGCACGAAAGCGUGGGGAGCAAACAGG